GGUAAUGUAGCUUAGUUGGUAGAGUACUAGCCUAGAAGGUACUAGGUCCUGGGUUUGAUUCCCCAGUACCA
rfam:Cricetulus griseus cell line CHO-K1, whole genome shotgun sequence.